rnacentral:lncRNA from 1 species
UUUUUCUUCACUGAGGUCUUAUAGAUAAGAUUUUCUCUUUAUAAACUUUGCAUUUUGUAAAAUAUAUUAUUUGUCUAUGAGCACAGAAAAAAUUCAUCCAGAUAAUCCAAGACCAAGGAUAUUUCUUAGAUUAAUGUCUUUUUCCAUAUGAGCAUCAGCAGAUGAGAAUAAGACUCAAUGUACAUAAAUACCACAUGUCUGUAGAAAGGCAUUUCCUGAACUAGAGACCCAAAGGACACACUUUCCAGGAUAUUAAUGUCACAGAAAAUGUUUGGUGCACCAUUAAGUCACAUUUACUGUAAUAGAAGCUCCAUGAGAAGAGGGACUUUGUCUUUUUUUACCACUGCAGCUCCAGCAUCUAAAACAGGUCCUGACACAUAGUAGGCACUCAAAAUAUUUAUUAUUAAAUGAAAUGUUGCCUUAAACUAGUUUAACCAGGUUUCUUUACUGCAGGACUUUCCAGAGGCUUAUCAUGCUAAUAUAUGUAGUGAAGCUCCAAGAGGAGGUGCUGGCAUAACUUAUUUCUCAAACCUAUUUGAACAUGGGUCACCCCAGGACAUAUCUAUUCACACCUAGUGGCACUGUGUUCCAUAGAAGUUUGGGAAAUGCUGAGUUAAAUUAAAAGGACAGGUAAAAAUAUCUAAGGCAAAAGGGAGUACAGGUAGUUAAUCCACAAUUUAGGUUCUGUUACAACUUUUUGCUGACUUACAUUCUUUGAUCUUUGAAUACAGGAAAAAUGAAGAAGAGGAUGGAGGAGAGAGCAUGGGUGGGAGGAGAGAGAGGAAAAACAGAAAGGAAAGACAAAGAGAGAGACAGAGAGAAAUGACCAUUUGAGAUGGAAGAAGUGGUACUCUGAAUUGCAGGAAAAAAUUCAGAUUGUGCUGGGCUUUACUGGCAGAUGAUUGGCAGCUGGAAGCUUCUCGUGGAACCUAGUGAUGAUAAUUGCCCACAGGCUGGAUUUAUCUUGUAAAGACUUGCUUGAAGCCUUAUCUGCUCAAUUGGCUGUGACCAGGAAAGAGGACACUGAUGGUUAGAUCUGUUCUCUUUUUUCAAUAUGGGUUCAUCCACCCAUCCUUUCUACCCUGGGACACACAUUAGUGAAUGGUCUGGAUUCGUUACUACAGAAGAAAUUAGGCACAGAUGAAGAAUAGGUAAUACUGCAGAUUUUGGAGACAAGCCAUUGGGUUGAUGUGUGAGCGACAGACUUGCCUGCCAUUGCUCCACUGUCCCCUGGAUCCUUCUUCAGCUUCUCUGACUCCUGGGCCAGUGUGUAUAUUUAGCUCCUUGAUGAGGGACCCUGGCUUCUGCAGGACACCCACCCCAACAAGACUUCUCAGGUGAAUAGAAUGUGCAGCCAAAGAUUGAAGCUGAUGUCACAGAUCACUGGAUGGCCAGUCAUCACAUCUGUUAUGUCCGUUCCACUUCACUGGUGCCAGCCAUUUAUGCCCUCUUUUGAGUCAUCUAUUGUGCUCAGUAGGCGAGGCUGUGGUGAUCACCUGGCAAUUUCCCCUGUGCAUCUAGGCAGGAGGAUUGAUGGCCCACAGAACUGGUGAUUGCCAUCCCUGAGUGGAGAAAGGAUCUGGGGAAGGGGUCUUAUAUUUUGGAUCAGACAAGUUAGUAAAAUUAUUGUAAUAAACCAACUGCAGGUUCUUUCACAAAUUCGUGGGGCCCCCUAUGGCCUCAAUGCUAGAUAUUUUUAUACUCUCAUAGCACAACCUCAUGACACUUAGCACAGUGAUGAAAUUUUAAAAUUUACUUGUGGGAUUAUUUGAUUAUUAUUGACUACAAUAUCCAUGAGAAAAAUGAUGCUUUGCUCACCAUUGCAUGUCCAGUGCCUGGGGACUCAAGAAACAGAUGCCAAAUAAGUGAACCAAGGAAGGCAUCGGGGCAGGCCCUGACUUAUUGGCAUUUAAGGGUCCCUUGGAGGGUCAACUGUGGAUCAGGGAUAGGCCUUGUGUCUCCUGUGUCUGAAGUCCUGUGGGGACACAGCAGACAGAAGCUAGGCCUCCACUCUCUUCUGGCUUGUCCAGGCUCCACUGAGAGCCUGUUGUCGUGGCUGCUCUCCCAGAUAUACCAGAGAUGGAUAGACAAUGGGAAGAGGAGGCUAUUGGCUGCAUGUCUGAGUUUGCACUGGUCUCAGGAAACCUUGAUACCUGCCAACUCUUUAAGGUAGCCUUUUCUGAAGGCAAAAUUGAGCUGAAGCACAAACCUAGGAGAUGCCUUGUUCCUGCGGCCUGCCUCCAUACACUUCAUCAGGAGCCAUCUUUCUCAGAAAAGAAUAAUAAGGGCCACUGUUCCUCCCACUCCCAGGCCCCAGGGUAGCCUUCAGAGGAAAGCCGUGGGUCAUGAGGUUGCAGCACUGUGGGAGUGGGAAGAAAGAAAAUGGUUUCCAGAGCAGAUAUCAGUUACCGGACUCUCAGAAAGUUUUUAGCGGCUUCUUUCUCAUUUCUAUCCAGGAACAUGGGAGGAAGGGUGCUGGGUUUGCAUGGUCAAAGUAAUACAUACAGAAAUAGUUCCAAGGGAGGCACAGAGAGAAGGCCUAUGAAGUGAUAAUGGCUGUUUCAUCGCAGGAUGGCAAAGCCUGGCUCUGGGCCUGUGUCUCCGUCAGGGUCUUGGAGGUGAUAUUGUUCAUACGGCUGUCCCUUCGGUACUUAGAAGGCAUCCCAUACUUGUCUGGGAGAGUCCUGGAUACCUUUGCAAAAUAACUCUGAAUUUAUUGAAGAUUCUUUAAAAAAUUUAUUAUGAAUUGUAUUCAUAUAAAAAUGCAUGG